CAGGGUGUAGCUCAGCCUGGUAGAGUACCCACCUCGGUAGUGGGAAGUGUGGAGUUCGAAUCUCCGUACCCUGA
rnacentral:tRNA from 1 species